ACUACCAUGCUUGUAGGAGAAGAGGCCUCAGUCCAGUUCUUCGUACAUUGGGAUACUUUGUAUCGCGAAGAAUUGUCUUUUACUGAAUUGCGUAGGAAGAAGACCGCAAGAUAUGUUGAGCGCAAAAGUAUUUGUGUUGUAGAGAAGAAACGAGCUUGCUUCGCUACAAUGAAAGAGCGUUUCCAGCGACAACGUAGCGUUUCACGGAGCAUAGUCCUUUCAAAGCUUUUCGAACGAAAACAAUAAUUCAUUUUAGUGUACUUUGCUUACAAAGAAAGGGAAUGAAAUUUCAAGUCAUGCAAAAUUGAUUUGUAUGUUGAUAGCUGACCAGACAUGCAAAAAAUUAAAUUAUUGAAAUAU